UACGGAGGUGGCGAGCGUUGUCCGAAGUUACUGGGCGUAAAGCGCGCGUAGGCGGGGGAUUAAGUGAGAAGUGAAAACCUGGGGCUCAACCCCGGCCUGCAGCCGAUACGGGCAAGCUAGAAUUCGGUAGGGGAGACUGGAAUUCCUGGUGUAGCGGUGAAAUGCGCAGAUAUCAGGAGGAACACCGGUGGCGAAGGCGGGUCUCUGGGCCGAUAUUGACGCUGAGGAGCGAAAGCGUGGGGAGCAACAGG
rnacentral:rRNA from 1 species